GACGAACGCUGGCGGCGUGCUUAACACAUGCAAGUCAUGGGGGCCCGCAAGGGCAACCGGCGAACGGGUGCGUAACACGUGAGCAACCUACCGAGAUGUGGGGGAUAGCCGGCCCAACGGCCGGGUAAUACCGCAUACGAUCAUUUGGGGGAGUCCCCGAAUGAGGAAACUCGCAAGAGGCAUUUUGAGGGGCUCGCGGCCUAUCAGCUAGUUGGCGGGGUAAUGGCCCACCAAGGCGACGACGGGUAGCUGGUCUGAGAGGAUGGCCAG
rnacentral:rRNA from 1 species